rnacentral:rRNA from 1 species
ACGCUCGACACCUACGGAAGGCAGCAGUGGGGAAUAUUGCACAAUGGGGGAAACCCUGAUGCAGCGACGCCGCGUGAGCGAAGAAGUAUCUCGGUAUGUAAAGCUCUAUCAGCAGGGAAGAAGAUGACGGUACCUGACUAAGAAGCACCGGCUAAAUACGUGCCAGCAGCCGCGGUAAUCUGGAGGCGGGCUGGCAAGGC